AUUGAACGCUGGCGGCAGGCCUAACACAUGCAAGUCGAGCGAGCGGCGGACGGGUGGGUAAUGUAUGGGGAACUGCCCGAUAGAGGGGGAUAACUACUGGAAACGGUGGCUAAUACCGCAUACUAUCGGAUGUACCCAUAUGGGAUUAGCUAGUAGGUGGGGUAAUGGCUCACCUAGGCGACGAGCCCUCGCUGGUCUGAGAGGAUGACCAGCCACACUGGAACUGAGACACGGUCCAGACUCCUACGGGAGGCAGCAGUGGGGAAUAUUGCACAAUGGGCGCAAUCCUGAUGCAGCCAUGCCGCGUGUGUGAAGAAGGCCUGCGGGUUGUAAAGCACUUUCAGCGAGGAGGCGUUACUCGCAGAAGAAGCACCGGCUAACUCCGUGCCAGCAGCCGCGGUAAUAC
rnacentral:rRNA from 1 species